AUGGGAUUUGUUAAAUUGAAUGUCGAUGCUUCUUUUGAUCACGAUCUGCUUAGAGGCACGGCUGGGACUGUUCUCAGAGAUGACAAUGAAAAUUCAUUGUUGGCAGAAACUGGAAAAUUGAUUGGUUGUGCGGAUGUUUUGACAGCAGAAGUGUUGGCCCUAAGGUUUGGAUUACUUCUUGCACAGAGGGUGGGAUGCAAUCGUCUUGUUAUUAACUCCGAUAAUAUGGAAGUCAUCAACACAAUGAGGAAUGGAGGACAAUCGGCGGGAGCGGCGACAGCAGUCUUCGAUGAUUGCUAUUUUUUGGCUUGUGAUUUUCCUCUUGCUAGGUGUGAACAUUGUAAUAGGGAAGCAAAUAAGCUGGCUCGUGAACUUGCUAGGUUAGCGAAAUUUUCUGCGACAAGGGACAGUUUUGAGGAGCCCUUGAAUGAAAUUGUAACUUUUCUUAUUGACGAUGUAACUGUUAUUUCUAAUUAA
rnacentral:rRNA from 1 species